CCCUUAGAUGUUCUGGGCCGCACGCGUGCUACACUGAGUGGAGCAGCGGGUCAGGUUGCGCGAAAGCGUUUCCUAAUCUUUAAAUCCGCUCGUGAUGGGGAUUGACGGUUGCAAUUUUCUGUCAUGAACGAGGAAUACCUUGUAAGCGCGGGUCAUCAUCCCGCGCUGAAUACGUCCCUGCCCUUUGUACACACCGCCCGUCGCUCCUACCGAUUGAGUGGUCCGGUGAGGCUUUGGGAUCUGAGCGGAAAGAGCGUUUCGCUGUUUCUGCUCGGAAAACUCAGUCGAACCUUAUCAUUUAGAGGAAGGAGAAGUCGUAACA
rnacentral:rRNA from 1 species